GAUCAUGGCUCAGAUUGAACGCUGGCGGCAGGCCUAACACAUGCAAGUCGAACGGUAACAGGAAGAAGCUUGCUUCUUUGCUGACGAGUGGCGGACGGGUGAGUAAUGUCUGGGAAACUGCCUGAUGGAGGGGGAUAACUACUGGAAACGGUAGCUAAUACCGCAUAACGUCGCAAAACCAAAGAGGGGGGACCUUCGGGCCGUCUUGCCAUCGGAUGUGCCCAGAUGGGAGUUAGCUAGUAGGUGGGG
rnacentral:rRNA from 1 species